GAUGAACGCUGGCGGCGUGCCUAAUACAUGCAAGUCGAGCGAACGGACGAGAAGCUUGCUUCUCUGAUGUUAGCGGCGGACGGGUGAGUAACACGUGGAUAACCUACCUAUAAGACUGGGAUAACUUCGGGAAACCGGAGCUAAUACCGGAUAAUAUUUUGAACCGCAUGGUUCAAAAGUGAAAGACGGUCUUGCUGUCACUUAUCGAUGGAUCCGCGCUGCAUUAGCUAGUUGGUAAGGUAACGGCUUACCAAGGCAACGAUGCAUAGCCGACCUGAGAGGGUGAUAGGCCACACUGGAACUGAGCCACGGUCCAGGCUCCUGCGGGAGGCAGCAGUAGGGAAUCUGCCGCAAUGGGCGAAAGCCUGACGGAGCAACGCCGCGUGAGUGAUGAAGGUCUUCGGAUCGUAAAACUCUGUUAUUAGGGAAGAACAUAUGUGUAAGUAACUGUGCACAUCUUGACGGUACCUAAUCAGAAAGCCACGGCUAACUACGUG
rnacentral:rRNA from 1 species